CUUGAUGUCUACAAAAAAGAAUAGGUGGACACAUACCCUGCGCACCAAAAUCUUCAAACAAUCUCUCGCUCCAUGCCUUCCCUAAUCUACAUCUGUAAUCUUCCAUGAUUCAUCCAAGCCCUUUCCGAUCCAACAAAUCAUUGCCCCGUUUCUCCCCAAAAAACAAUCUUCUGUUGGCCACAUGAAGAACAACAAUUGGAGCUCUCGACGGGAUGCGAGUAUCUAUCAGGUGGAUCCUCCCACCGUAACUUCAGAAUAGCUCCGGUUGCAGAGACGCUGAUCGAGAGCCAUGAAGAAAGCUGCGGGUCUCCGUAUGAAAGAUGCACCAGAUCCCCUAAUUUGGAUGUUGAAUCUGAGUCCUCGACGUCGGAUUCAGGAUUCCCCACUCCCAGCAGCCAACGGAGAUGUUAAAUCGAGCAGCCCCAUCUCCAACAAAUCCGGAACAGAGCCAUGUUCAUGGCAGAGAAGUUGGCACGAGCAGGGCCGGCCGGUCCCAGGUCUCAAGUGGCAGAGCAAGAUAAUCUCCUCUCCAAAGACCAGUGGGCGCACCGACACUGAUCUUUGUAGCAGGAAUAAACAAUCAAAAUAAAAGGUGGGCCACACAGCAAGGAAUUUGAGAAACCAUCCAAUGUGGUUAAAAAAAACAAAUAAGCAAUGUAACAAGCAGUGGUGGAGCUACCAAAAAAAUAUUGGGCGGGCCGGAUAGUAUAAAGAGUAGUAACAAAGUAAAAAAUCUAUAUUGUUGUGGGCUAGACUUCAUAUAAAACUUUAUUUGCUUCAGCCAAGGGCGGGACAUGGCCCUUUCAGCCUUGCUGAAGCUCUGCCGGUGGUAACAAGGAUAUCGGAAAGGACUAAUAGGAAAACCAAGCUCCAAGUGUGACCGAUGUGGCGCAAUUUUCUGGUACGAAGAAAGAACUUCAGGUAGAGUGAAAAGCAUGCCAUCUUUCGGACUAUGAUGCCAACAGGGAAAGGUUGGUUUGCCACCAUUCAGAGAGCUACCGACUUACCUUGCAGAAUUGCUAAGGAAAGACAAUAGAAACAGGUCAAAAAAAUACACACAAAAUAUCAGAUUGUACAACUCCAUGUUCGCUUUCACGACAAUGGGAGGGAAAAUAGGAAAAAAAAACAAUAGCAGUAGGUCCUAUGUUUUAGAAUGAACGGGCAAAAUUACCACAGAAUAGGCACUCUACUACCUGAAGGUAAAGACAGACCACGCUGGGCACAGUUGUACAUCUAUGACACUGAAAAUGAGGUAAGAAACAUGAUUAAGGUGUCGAUGUCUGAAGAUAAAAUGGAGUCAAUAGAUGCUCACAUCGUCGAGGAACUUAAAAUAUGCUGGAUAGAGAUAAUAUACUUGCAAAAACAUUCAGAAUGGCAAGGGACAGAUUCGAAGAAGGUGACUAUCACAACAUGAGAUUAAAACUAAUCAAAUUUAUGUUUUAUAAAAUCUGAUAGUUUUUUGUUACAAGUCAUAGUGCAGAUAAAAAAGUUAGGCUUGAUAAGAAGAAGUUCUCCAUUUUCUCCAUCUUAUUAGGUGUAUGCAAAAUAUGAUGCAGGUGCUGUUUUGGUAGUGGAACCUUUCUACGUGUAUGUUUACCUUUCUCUAUAUUAUCUUCCAUAAAAGUAUUGUAACACAAUAUCAAGUGCAUACCUUUUGCUCCCAAGCUUCGAAUAGCCAAAUAAUUCAGAAUUAAACAAAUAAAAAUCCUCCUUUAAGUUUGAGACUGUCCUGAUUUUUUCCUUGCAUGUUAAAUGUUCAUCCUAACACCUGAUUAUGAUUUUUCUUUUAUAUUUGCAUGUUCCCCAUAAAAGACUAACAUGCUUUUUUUCAGUUGUAAAGACUAAGAUGCUGAACUAAAAUAUUUUGACAGUACAUAAAAAAUGAAAAAGUCAUUUAACUUAAUCUUAUGAAGCACAUCUACAUGCAUUAAAUCACCAGCCACUGGCCGCACCAGCGAAUCGAGCUGCAAGGGGUGGCUGCAGCCUGCAGGUGAGGACAAUCAAGCUCAAGGCACCGAAUCAAGGAGCGAGUUGAUGGGAGCAAUCCGGCGGCAGUAAUUUUGUAGUGAGCGGAGAGAAUAAGGAAGAGAAAAAGGGGAUCGGGCAAGAGCAACAUGCUACUGUGUGAAGUGUGAACGGGUAAGAGGAUUUUUUAGGCUGCUCAGAAAAGAAGAUGUGUGGUCGCUAUGUCCAUAUGCGUGAGGCUAUUUAGCUAAAUCCCAUAAUAUCCCAUCACAAGAAAUAUAGGAGUACUAACUUUUCCAAAAACAACUACACAAAAAAAUUAUACUCAUAAGUCGAGAAGACUUACCUAAUAGGGAAAGCAAAGGAAUUAGCAUGAUGGGACCCAUGAAACCAAUGACGGUUUGUACAUGUAAUAGUAGCGUGCACAAUUCUUUUUUUUUCCUAAUGAAAAUACUAUGGACGAUGUAUCUUUUCUAGGAAGUGGACAAGCUGAGAGCAAACUAUGCCGACGUGUCUUUUUUUCAAGGAAAAUAUAAGUUUUAUUCUACUGAAAUAGGAUUACGGCUGCUAAGAAAAUUCUAAAGCACAAUUUUCACGGAUAUGUACAAUAUACAAAUACACUCUAACAUUUUAUGUACCAAAUUAAAAUAAAAUCAAUUACAGUACGAAAAUCACUAUAUAUAAAAAAUACCUAACAAUCUUGCAUAGCAUUAGCAAACUACCCAUUCCUACACGAAACAAUGAGAACUAUUAAAUUUGCGUUUACAAAAAAUUAAAACAAUGCGACAUGAUAAAAACGCCAAAAAUUUAUAUAAAUAUGAUUUGAACAACGGAACUGAUCACAAAAAUUAAUUAGUACAUCAUGCAUACUUUACAUGUAAAUGAUGAAGGGAUAACACAUAUAUUUAUAUGUCAGUAAAAAAGCAAACAUAAUAAAGAUAAAACUAUGUUCACAUAAGUUUUAUAUUUAAAAUUGGAAUCACAUUAAAUUCCUUUUUUUUUACACAAAUGAAUUAAUUUGUUAACAUCAAUCAACUUUAUAAAUUUCUAGCCCGCGCACCGAGCGGGCCACUUUGCUAGUUGUAUGAAAGACGGAUGCAAUAAAUAGUAUGAAAAAAAGGCAUGAAAUAGUUGACAUGUAUAUUGUUUAACUAAAACGGAUAGCAUGACAUAAUUUCACAUAUUUGAUGUCCAUCUAAACUGGAUAGCAUAAUAUAACAUAAUUCAAAGAUAUGAUGAAUAACUAAACAGGAUCACAUGAAAGCAUUCACCUACAUGGUAUAUAAGUAAUCAGGAUCGCAUCAUUUAAUUAACAUAUGUGAUUUAUAUGCUAAACAGAGGGCA